AAUUCAACUCAAUUUCCAUAUGCAGGAGACUUACGGUGUUAAAACAAUACCGAUCUUGUGAACUUUUCCCAAGUCUCUACAAACCAACCUCAAAUUAUUCUAUAGCCUAAAACUUUCAACAAAAAUGCAAUUUUUUUUAGAAAGAAAACAAAAACAAAACAAAACAAAGAACAAAAACAAAGAAAAUAAAGUAUUCCCUCCCCCACACUUAAAAU
rnacentral:lncRNA from 1 species